UUGGCUCAGGAUGAACGCUGGCGGCGUGCCUAACACAUGCAAGUCGAACGGAGCGGUCCGGAUGAGAUCUUCGGAUGGAUUUUGGAUUUGCUUAGUGGCGGAUGGGUGAGUAACGCGUGGGCAACCUGCCCUGUACUGGGGGAUAGCAGCUGGAAACGGCUGAUAAGACCGCGUAAGUCGUCGGAGCCGCAUGACUCUGACGGGAAAUGAGCAAUCAGGUACAGGAUGGACCCGCGUCCGAUUAGCCGGUUGGUGAGGUAAGAGCCCACCAAAGCAACGAUCGGUAGCCGGCCUGAGAGGGCGGACGGCCACAUUGGGACUGAGACACGGCCCAAACUCCUACGGGAGGCAGCAGUGGGGAAU
rnacentral:rRNA from 1 species